rfam:Microgenomates (Woesebacteria) bacterium GW2011_GWA2_40_7b TT12_C0012, whole genome shotgun sequence.
GGCCGGAUGGCGAAGUGGAAACGCGGGAGUCUGCAAAACUUCUAUCGCGCGGGUUCGAUUCCCGCUCCGGCCU